GACGAACGCUGGCGGCGUGCUUAACACAUGCAAGUCGAACGGAAAGGCCCUGCUUUUGUGGGGUGCUCGAGUGGCGAACGGGUGAGUAACACGUGAGUAACCUGCCCUUGACUUUGGGAUAACUUCAGGAAACUGGGGCUAAUACAGGAUAGGAGCUCCUGCUGCAUGGUGGGGGUUGGAAAGUUUCGGCGGUUGGGGCUGGACUCGCUGCUUAUCGGCUUGUUGGUGGGGUAGUGGCUUACCAAGGGUUUGACGGGUAGCCGGCCUGGGAGGGUGGACGGCCACAUUGGGACUGAGAUACGGCGCAGACUCGUACGGGAGGCAGCAGUGGGGAGUAUGGCAGAAUGGGCGGAAGCCUGAGGCAGCAACGCCGCGUGCGGGAUGACGUCCUUCGGGUUGUGAACCGCUGUGGCCGGAGACGAAGCGGGAGUGACGGUAAUGGGUAAAGAAGCACCGGCUAACUACGUG
rnacentral:rRNA from 1 species